rnacentral:rRNA from 1 species
ACUCCUACGGGAGGCAGCAGUGGGGAAUAUUGCACAAUGGGCGCAAGCCUGAUGCAGCAACGCCGCGUGAGGGACGACGGCCUUCGGGUUGUAAACCUCUUUUGGCAGGGAAGAAGCGAAAGUGACGGUACCUGCAGAAAAAGCACCGGCUAACUACGUGCCAGCAGCCGCGGUAAUACGUAGGGUGCAAGCGUUGUCCGGAAUUAUUGGGCGUAAAGAGCUCGUAGGCGGUUUGUCGCGUCUGCUGUGAAAACGCGAGGCUCAACCUCGCGCCUGCAGUGGGUACGGGCAGACUAGAGUGUGGUAGGGGAGAUUGGAAUUCCUGGUGUAGCGGUGGAAUGCGCAGAUAUCAGGAGGAACACCGAUGGCGAAGGCAGAUCUCUGGGCCAUUACUGACGCUGAGGAGCGAAAGCGUGGGGAGCGAACAGGAUUAGAUACCCUGGUAGUCCACGCCGUAAACGUUGGGAACUAGAUGUGGGGUCCAUUCCACGGAUUCCGUGUCGCAGCUAACGCAUUAAGUUCCCCGCCUGGGGAGUACGGCCGCAAGGCUAAAACUCAAAGGAAUUGACGGGGGCCCGCACAAGCGGCGGAGCAUGCGGAUUAAUUCGAUGCAACGCGAAGAACCUUACCAAGGCUUGACAUAUACCUGAAAAGGCUGGAAACAGUCUCCUCGCAAGACAGGUAUACAGGUGGUGCAUGGUUGUCGUCAGCUCGUGUCGUGAGAUGUUGGGUUAAGUCCCGCAACGAGCGCAACCCUCGUUCUAUGUUGCCAGCGCGUAAUGGCGGGAACUCAUAGGAGACUGCCGGGGUCAACUCGGA